CGUUGUUGCCUUUUUUUUUUUUUUUCAUUCCAAUAAGAAGCUGAAAAUAGCGAUCGUUUCUAUCCCGGAAGAUCGGCCAUGGAAGAAGGCACCGAAUCGGAGCAAAUUUCUGAUAAUUUCACCUGUGCAGUUUGCCUAGAUGUUCUAUACAAACCCAUUGUUCUAGUUUGUGGCCAUGUCUCCUGCUUCUGGUGUUGCCAACGUUCGAUGGAUAUGAAAAGUGAAUCUCAUUGUCCAUUAUGUAGGCAUACUUAUCAUCAUUUUCCUGCAAUCUGCCAGACACUUCACUUCUUGCUCAAGAAGUUGUAUCCAAUUUCCUACAAUAGAAGGAGCAUACAAACACGGGAGGAUGAAAAAAGCACAUCAGGAUUUUCACCGGACAUUGAUAGUCUUGUUACCAGUGAAGAAUCGAAUGGUCUAAACAAUGUGGGCCAAACUUCCGAUCUCAGUUUUGAAGAUGAUGUUUUAGUAGAUCCUUUUUCUACCAAAGAAAAGAAAUUGAACGAGAGUUCUGUUAGAACUUGUUCAGUCAGUGACGUGCUGUGUGCUACUUGCAAGCAGCUACUUUUUCGGCCUGUUGUUCUUAAUUGUGGCCAUGUUUACUGUGAGGCCUGCAUCACCAUCCCAACUGAGGGAAUGCUUAAAUGUCAAGUUUGUAAAUGCCGACAUCCAAGUGGAUUUCCAAAAGUGUGUAGGGAGCUUGAUCAUUUCUUAGAGGAACAGUUUGCGUCAGAGUAUGCAUUGAGGAGAAACACUAUUCAGCUCAAUCAAGAGCAGACCCAAAACAGGAUUCUACCCAAUGAGGUCAAUACUCAAGUUCCCAGGCUCUCGUUCCCUACAGAAGAGAAUUUUCUGCAGUGGUGGACUGUUCAUGGCUCUAAGUUUCAUGCAAAUAUUGGUUGUGAUGUGUGUGGGAUGUGUCCAAUAAUUGGGGAUAGGUAUCGUUGCAAAGAUUGUACAGAAAGCUGUGGUUAUGACCUUUGUGGAGAUUGUUACAACACAUCUUCGGAUCUUCCAGGCAGGUUUAACCAGAAGCAUACUUCAAGACACCAGCUCGAGUUAGUGAAGCCAGUCAUUAACCGAAACAUCAUAUAUAGGCUUUUACGUGGACAGCUGGCAGUAGUUUCUUCUAUUGCUUCCCGAAAUCAAUCUAGCCCUGCUAAUGGAAGUCCGGAUCUUCCAUCUCCUUCUCUUGAUGAAGAUGAUGUAGGUAUUGCUACCAGAGAAGACCAAAGCGAUCAAGCUCCAAUAUGAGAGGGGUCUUCACGGAAACAGCCUCUCGAUCCAAGUGGUUGAGGUGUUGUUUCAAGCAAGUUUAUGAGACCUACAUGAUAAGAGGACGAUAAGGCCGGAAGCGACAAGCGCAAGGAAAAGGUCUACGAGUGUACUAUACAUAGUUAAUAUUUAUGUAACGGAGCUUGCAUUUGACAUUUGUGAAUGUCUAAGAAUGUCAAAUACAAAUCAUGUAAUUUAGAAGGAUGACGUUUAUGUAUAUAAUAUUUUAUAUACGGCAAAUACUCAUGUACAUU